rnacentral:piRNA from 1 species
UGACCUUGGUCCUUUAUCCAGAUUUGGGAGU